AUUGAACGCUGGCGGCAGGCCUAACACAUGCAAGUCGAGCGAGCGGCGGACGGGUGAGUAAUGUAUGGGGACUGCCCGAUAGAGGGGGAUAACUACUGGAAACGGUGUCUAAUACCGCAUACUGUCGGAUAACCCAUAUGGGAUUAGCUAGUCGGUAAGGGAAUGGCUUACCUAGGCGACGAUCCCUAGCUGGUCUGAGAGGAUGAUCAGCAACACGGGGCCUGAGCAACGGCCCAGCUUCCUACGGAGUCGGCAGUGGGGAAGUUUGCACAAUGGGCGAAAGCCUGAUGCAGCCAUGCCGCGUGUAUGAAGAGGGCCCUAGGGUUGUAAAGUACUUUCAGUCGGGAGGCGUUACCAACAGAAGAAGCACCGGCUAACUCCGUGCAAGAGCCGCGGUAAUUC
rnacentral:rRNA from 1 species